ensembl:lncRNA
CAACAAUUGGUCUGAAGCCGUACUCUUAGUGAAGUAGAGAAGAAAAAGAUUUAGUAGUGCAAUCAACAAAAAAUAUCUCCCUCACUCUAUUGCAUCUAUUUGAACAUGCUGGACAGGAUGACCUGGGAGGUUAUAGCAAUCUUUCCUACAGCCUCACACGAAUAUAAACAGUAGAUGCCUGUGAAGGACUCUUGCACAUACACAUAUUCCCAAAGGCACUUAUUAUACCUGGUUGCAGCUGAAUACAGAUAUUGACAGAGACGUCUGAGAGGAGAAACCAAGAUCGUUUAUGACUAUGUCCUCAUUAGGAUCUCAAAUUUCACGGGCACCACAAGGCUACCCCAACUCAGAUUUAAUCAGCAGCAGACACCCAUCAGAAGGAAGGAAGGGCCAUCCCUGCCCCCUGGUAACUGGUGGUGCAGACCUAGGAGACUUCUAUGAAUCUCGGUAAUUGCAAGUCUGCCUGAUGGAUCCGACACAGUCCAGUUUCAGAGCUGUUGCUACAAACCUGCUAAAUGGCGUCACUGCUACUUGCCUGAGACCACGGUAGUGCUUCCGCUUUGCCGUGAAGACACAGCCAUGUGUUACAUACCGAAUAUACACAUGACAGCCGAUUCUUCCACCUACGUCUUCAUUUGGUGAAAUCUGUACAGACUCAUAUCUUGUUAGUGUACUUCCCUAUGAAUGAUCCUUAUGGGAGGAACUACUAGCUGCCUGCUCUUUCGGGAAAAACUGGAUGAUAAUAACAAAAUACUACAAAAGUCAUGAAGUUUCCUUCCUUCAUCUUUUUGCUGUGCAGACACCCAGAGAGGAGGGAGGCAACCCCUCUGGGAGCACUCAGG